UACGAAGGGGGCUAGCGUUGUUCGGAAUUACUGGGCGUAAAGCGUGCGCAGGCGGCUUCUCCAGUCAGGGGUGAAAGCCCAGAGCUCAACUCUGGAAUUGCCUUUGAGACUGAGUGGCUUGAGUACGAGAGAGGUGAGUGGAAUUCCCAGUGUAGAGGUGAAAUUCGUAGAUAUUGGGAAGAACACCGGUGGCGAAGGCGGCUCACUGGCUCGUAACUGACGCUCAUGCACGACAGCGUGGGGAUCAAACAGG
rnacentral:rRNA from 1 species